rnacentral:rRNA from 1 species
GUGUCAGCCGCCGCGGUAAUACGUAGGUGGCAAGCGUUGUCCGGAAUUAUUGGGCGUAAAGCGCGCGCAGGCGGUCCUUUAAGUCUGAUGUGAAAGCCCUCGGCUCAACCGAGGAGGGUCAUUGGAAACUGGAGGACUUGAGUGCAGAAGAGGAAAGUGGAAUUCCAAGUGUAGCGGUGAAAUGCGUAGAGAUUUGGAGGAACACCAGUGGCGAAGGCGACUUUCUGGUCUGUAACUGACGCUGAGGCGCGAAAGCGUGGGGAGCAAACAGGAUUAGAAACCCUCGUAGUCC